ACGAACGCUGGCGGCGUGCCUAAUACAUGCAAGUCGAACGAACUCUGGUAUUGAUUGGUGCUUGCAUCAUGAUUUACAUUUGAGUGAGUGGCGAACUGGUGAGUAACACGUGGGAAACCUGCCCAGAAGCGGGGGAUAACACCUGGAAACAGAUGCUAAUACCGCAUAACAACUUGGACCGCAUGGUCCGAGUUUGAAAGAUGGCUUCGGCUAUCACUUUUGGAUGGUCCCGCGGCGUAUUAGCUAGAUGGUGGGGUAACGGCUCACCAUGGCAAUGAUACGUAGCCGACCUGAGAGGGUAAUCGGCCACAUUGGGACUGAGACACGGCCCAAACUCCUACGGGAGGCAGCAGUAGGGAAUCUUCCACAAUGGACGAAAGUCUGAUGGAGCAACGCCACGUGAGUGAAGAAGGGUUUCGGCUCGUAAAACUCUGUUGUUAAAGAAGAACAUAUCUGAGAGUAACUGUUCAGGUAUUGACGGUAUUUAACCAGAAAGCCACGGCUAACUACGUGCCAGCAGCCGCGGUAAUACGUAGGUGGCAAGCGUUGUCCGGAUUUAUUGGGCGUAAAGCGAGCGCAGGCGGUUUUUUAAGUCUGAUGUGAAAGCCUUCGGCUCAACCGAAGAAGUGCAUCGGAAACUGGGAAACUUGAGUGCAGAAGAGGACAGUGGAACUCCAUGUGUAGCGGUGAAAUGCGUAGAUAUAUGGAAGAACACCAGUGGCGAAGGCGGCUGUCUGGUCUGUAACUGACGCUGAGGCUCGAAAGUAUGGGUAGCAAACAGGAUUAGAUACCCUGGUAGUCCAUACCGUAAACGAUGAAUGCUAAGUGUUGGAGGGUUUCCGCCCUUCAGUGCUGCAGCUAACGCAUUAAGCAUUCCGCCUGGGGAGUACGGCCGCAAGGCUGAAACUCAAAGGAAUUGACGGGGGCCCGCACAAGCGGUGGAGCAUGUGGUUUAAUUCGAAGCUACGCGAAGAACCUUACCAGGUCUUGACAUACUAUGCAAAUCUAAGAGAUUAGACGUUCCCUUCGGGGACAUGGAUACAGGUGGUGCAUGGUUGUCGUCAGCUCGUGUCGUGAGAUGUUGGGUUAAGUCCCGCAACGAGCGCAACCCUUAUUAUCAGUUGCCAGCAUUAAGUUGGGCACUCUGGUGAGACUGCCGGUGACAAACCGGAGGAAGGUGGGGAUGACGUCAAAUCAUCAUGCCCCUUAUGACCUGGGCUACACACGUGCUACAAUGGAUGGUACAACGAGUUGCGAACUCGCGAGAGUAAGCUAGUCUCUUAAAGCCAUUCUCAGUUCGGAUUGUAGGCUGCAACUCGCCUACAUGAAGUCGGAAUCGCUAGUAAUCGCGGAUCAGCAUGCCGCGGUGAAUACGUUCCCGGGCCUUGUACACACCGCCCGUCACACCAUGAGAGUUUGUAACACCCAAAGUCGGUGGGGUAACCUUUUAGGAACCAGCCGCCUAAGGUGGGACAGAUGAUUAGGGUGAAGUC
rnacentral:rRNA from 1 species